rnacentral:lncRNA from 1 species
AAGGUAAUCCCAAAACUGCCCCAUUUUAUUUGUUCAACAUGUUAAAAUUUAAGAAAAAUGAUGCAUUGCUUACUAGCAUGAUUUUUUCAAUCUUGAGUUUUUAUGGUGUGUUUUAUUGUGCCUUAUCAUUGAGUAAUAUUAUGGUGUACGUGUUUUUCUUUUGACAAACGAUAACGUUAGUAGGUUAAAUUGUUAGUCCCGUACUGGAACACCAACCAGGUUACCCAAAAAAUGAUUCACACACCCAUCUUUAUUCUAUAACUUAAUUCCAUGCUUGUCCCUCGAUACUCGUGAGCGAAAGGGAGGGUCCAAGCGGAUAUGAAAAUGAUCUAUUACUCCAAAGUCUACUUCAUAUGGCCAAUUAUUAGGUGUGUGAUCCUCAUCAUCAACUAUACUUUUUAUAAGGAAUAUCAUUCAUAACCCAGCUAUAAGCAUGCCGAUAUCGUUGAAAGCAUUAAAACAAUGAAAAAUAUGAAGUCUUACCCAGUGGCAGAUCGAAGAUUUUAAUAUCGGUGGUCCUAAUAUAAAGGCCCUAAAAAAUAUUAAGCGAAAAAUAAUAUUGAAAAUUAAAUGCUAGACUACAAUUUUUCAUUCAUAAUUUUUGUACAAACAACAUUACAAGCUACAAAGUACAAAGACUUAUUUGUCAACGAUGAGGUAUGCGUAAUAUCGUUCCAUACUUCUAAUUUCUACACAUAUCAAUUACUCAAAACAAAAAAAAAACAUAUUAAUUGAUGAAGCUAAAAGAAAAAAAAUACCUAUAACUAUUAUGAAUUUAACAUUCUACAACAACAACAACAACAACAACAAAGCCUUUUCCCACUAAGUGGGGUCGGCUAUAUGAAUCCUAGAACGCCAUUGCGCUCGGUUUUGUGUCAUGUCCUCCGUUAGAUCCAAGUACUCUAAGUCUUUUCUUAGAGUCUCUUCCAAAGUUGUCCUAGGUCUUCCUCUACCCCUUCGGCCCUGAACCUCUGUCCCGUAGUCACAUCUUCGAACCGGAGCGUCAGUCGGCCUUCUUUGCACAUGUUCAAAAUCACCGGAGCCGAUUUUCUCUCAUCUUUCCUACAAUUUCGGCUACUCCUACUUUACCUCGGAUAUCCUCAUUCCCAAUCUUAUCCUUUCUCGUGUGCCCACACAUCCCACGAAGCAUCCUCAUCUCCGCUACACCCAUUUUGUGUACGUGUUGAUGCUUCACCACCCAACAUUCUAUGCCAUACAACAUCGCUAGCCUUAUUGCCGUCCUAUAAAAUUUUCCCUUGAGCUUCAGUGGCCUACGACGGUCACACAACACGCCGGAUGCACUCUUUCCAUCCAGCUCGUAUUCUAUGGUUGAGAUCUCCAUCUAAUUCUCCGUUCUCUUGCAAGAUAGAUCCUAGGUAGCGAAAAACGAUCGCUUUUUGUGAUCUUCGCUAGAUUGCUCCGGUCAUUAGUGUGGAUAAGUAUAUAAAUGGAUAGAGAUAGGAAAGCAAACACAAGAUGUACGUGGUUCACCCAGAUUGGCUACGUCCACGGAAUAGAAGAGUUCUCAUUAAUUGUGAAGGGUUUACACAAGUACAUAGGUUCAAGCUCUCAUUUAGUGAGUACAAGUGAAUGAUUUAGUACAAAUGACAUUAGGAAAUAUUGUGGGAGAAUGAUCUCGUAAUCACGAAACUUCUAAGUAUCGGAGUGUGGUGUCGUCUUGACUUGCCUUAUCUAUCUCAUAGGUAGAUGUGGCAUCUUCUCUGGAAGUACUCUUCCUCCAUCCAGGGGUGGUAUCUUUAACUGGUGGAGAUGCACAAGGUAAUGUAUCAAUUUCACUUGAAGCUUACUUGUAGUUUCAGGCUUGGUCAAGCGCGAUACAAACCAUGUAGUAGGAGUCCCCCAAGUCGCCGAGCUAGGGGGUCUGCUGAAAGAGGUGACAGACAAGGUAAGCAAUCAGAGCUCCGACUGAUUGUUCACCUUCUCCCCAUCUUGCAGCAGCAUGAAGGAUAAAGAGAAGAAAAAUGAGAAGAGAUGAUAUGAGAUACUUUUGCUUUUGAAGAAGUAACUUUCCACAGGCUUAUUCUUGAACUGAGCUGGAGGGUUUUCUGGUUUCCUCCAGAGUAUAAGGCCGACUGAAGAAUUUGAGGGUCAAAACAAGUCCAUCAAAUCUAGAGUACGUUCCACCCUGCUGAUAUGGGAUACUUUUGCUUUUGACAGAGUAAUGAAUGUAUCGACCCGUGUGCUGUUACGCUUGUCUCCACAUGCUUCCUUGUAUCCUUCGCACUUGCCCUAUCUGUUCCUCAAGCAGAUGCGGAAUCUUCCCUGGAAACAUAAGAUGUUGAAGAUGAGUACUCGAGAGCAAUGCCAGGUAAGUAAUCAGGUAAGGGGUUCCAGGCAGUCAGUUCCUGGCUGGAAGCUUGAUUCCAAGUGCUGACUGAUUGCUCUCUUUCUCCUUGUCUUGCAGGUAAAAAACAAGGCCAAAAGAAAAGACAGGGAAAAAGCAUGAUAUGGGAUACUCUUGCUUUUAACCCUGAUGAUAUGAGAUAUUCUUGCUCUAGUAUAGCUUGUUUGCAGAGGUAUUAUCGGGGGGAAAGAAAGCUGAAAUAUUUCGAAAGGCUUCGUUGGGAGUGCCCUCUCAAAUAUGAUGAAGGGUUGAGCAUUUUUGCAGGUCUGCCUGUCCGUUGGGGAUGGAGGUCGACAUAUAUAGGAGUCUCCCUAACAACAAGUAGUAAUGCUAUUCCUUUACCCUGCUUGGUCAUAGCACGGUAGUGGGAGCUGCCAGUUUCACAUGUUUUAACUCUGUCAGAGCACUUUGAAAAAGUGGUCUGUGGUAUCUGGCUCUCGAGAUUUGGAGAACGAUGCCUCUUCGAUUUUUGAGAAAGCAAUCAUGCUGGGGGUAUGACUCUCGAGAUUCGGAGAGCAGUGUCUCUUCGAUUUUUGAGGAAGUAAUCAUGUUGGGAGUCUGGCUCUCGAGAUUCGGAGGGCGGUGCCUCUUCGAUUUUGGAGCAAACAAUCUUGUUGGGAGUGUUGUCUCGAAUGUGAGUAAAGGUUGGGCAUGUUUGCUAGUCUACCUUGCCACGAAGCACAAAGGUUGACACACAGGGACUUUCCAAUUAUCCAGCAAUGGUACUGUUCCUUUACCUCUCUCUUCGAUUUUGAGAAAGUAGUCAUGUUGGGAGUCUGGCUCUCGAGAUUCGGAGGAUGGUGCCUCUUCGAUUUUGGAGCAAGCAAUCUUAUUGGGAGUGUUUUUCUCGAAUGUGAGUAAAGGUUGGGCAUGUUUGCUAGUCUACCUUGCCACGAAGCACAGAGGUUGACACACAGGGACUUUCCAAUUAUCCAGCAGUGGUACUGUUCCUUUACAGUUGUGGGUAAUAAUAUGGUAGCUAGACCUUCAAAAUUUAUGUGUCUAAACUUUUGUUAGUGCUGUUUCUUUGCUAUUCUUUUACCUUUCUUGGUCAGAGCGAUGUAGUGGGAGCUGCAAGCUUCACGUGCUCAACUUUGGCAGAGAACUUUGGCAAAGUUAUUUGUGGUACCCAUGAGCUAUUGUUGCGUGUGGGAAGUGGGUGUGAUUGAACAGUAAGAUUCAUGUGCUUUCUACUUCACCAGAAGUCUUCGACAGAAUGCCCAUAAUUUCUGCAAAGCUGAGUGUGCGUGUGACAGGUGCUGACAAGGCUAGAAAAGUAGGUGCCUCUUCGAUUUCUGAGAUCGGCCCUCGUGGUCUCUGAGCAGCCCAGCUUUUGAGAAAGCGAGCGCCUCUUCGAUUGAUUCGGAGAACGAUGCCUCAUCGAUUUUUGAGAAAGCAAUCAUGCUGGGGGUCUGGCUCUCGAGAUUCGGGGAGCAGUGUCUCUUCGAUUUUUGAGAAAGUAAUCAUGUUGGGAGUCUGGCUCUCGAGAUUCGGAGGGCGGUGCCUCUUCGAUUUUGGAGCAAGCAAUCUUGUUGGGAGUGUUUUCUCGAAUGUGAGUAAAGGUUGGGCAUGUUUGCUAGUCUACCUUGCCACGAAGCACAGAGGUUGACACACAGGGAGUUUCCAAUUAUCCAGCAAUGGUACUGUUCCUUUACCCUCUCUUCGAUUUUUAAGAAAGUAGUCAUGUUGGGAGUCUGGCUCUCGAGAUUCGGAGGACGGUGCCUCUUCGAUUUUGGAGCAAGCAAUCUUAUUGGGAGUGUUUUCUCGAAUGUGAGUAAAGGUUGGGCAUGUUUGCUAGUCUACCUUGCCACGAAGCACAGAGGUUGACACACAGGGACUUUCCAAUUAUCCAGCAGUGGUACUGUUCCUUUACCCUUGUGGGUAAUAAUAUGGUAGUUAGACCUUCAAAAUUUAUGGGUCUAAACUUUGUUAGUGCUGUUUCUUUGCUAUUCUUUUACCCUUCUUGGUCAGAGCGAUGUAGUGGGAGCUGCAAGCUUCACGUGCUCAACUUUGGCAGAGAACUUUGGCAAAGUUAUCUGUGGUACCCAUGAGCUAUUGUUGCGUGUGGGAAGUGGGUGAUUGAACAGUAAGAUUCAUGUGUUUUCUACUUCCCCAGAAGUCUUUGACAGAAUGCCCAUAAUUUCCGCAAAACUGAGUGUGCGUGUGACAGGUGCUGACAAGGCUGGAAAAGGCUGGAAAAAGUAGGUGCCUCUUCGAUUUCUGAUAUCGGCCCUCGUGGUCUCUGGGGAGCCCAGCUUUUGAGAAAGCGAGCGCCUCUUCGAUUUUUGAGAUCGGCCUUCGUGGUCUUUGAGCAGCCCAACUUUUGAGAAAGCAAACGCCUCUUCGAUUUCUGAGAUCAACCCUCGUGAUCUCUAAGCAGCCCAGCUUUUGAGAAAGCAAACGCCUCUUCGAUUUCUGAGCAGGCGCCUCUUCGAUUUCUGAAGCUUCGUCGAGUGCAGAUUUUUAUAGGGGCUGGCAUUAAGUUCCAAAGCACACUUGAAUCUCCACCAGUAGAAGCUUCAUUCUUGCACUUCUAAGAUCUUGAUUUGUCCGACCUCUUCUCUCUUCAACACCUUUGAAAAUGUCUGGCCCCUCCGACCGUCGUUUUGACUUGAACCUUGUUGAAGAGGCAGCCCCGCCUUCUCCAGACAACAUAUGGCGCCCAUCCUUCGUCUCCCCUACUGGUCCUCUUACCGUUGGGGAUUCCGUGAUGAAGAAUGAUAUGACCGCUGCGGUGGUGGCCAGGAACCUUCUCACUCCCAAAGAUAACAGACUACUUUCCAAACGGUCUGAUGAGUUAGCUGUUAAGGAUUCGCUGGCUCUCAGUGUUCAGUGUGCAGGUUCUGUGUCUAAUAUGGCCCAACGCCUAUUUGCUCGAACCCGCCAAGUUGAAUCAUUGGCGGCUGAAGUGAUGAGUCUCAAACAGGAGAUUAGAGGGCUCAAGCAUGAGAAUAAACAGUUGCACCGGCUCGCACAUGACUAUGCUACAAACAUGAAGAGGAAGCUUGACCAGAUGAAGGAAACUGAUGGUCAGGUUUUACUUGAUCAUCAGAGAUUUGUGGGUUUGUUCCAAAGGCAUUUAUUGCCUUCGUCUUCUGGGGCUGUACCGCGUAAUGAAGCUCCAAAUGAUCAACCUCUGAUGCCUCCUCCUUCUAGGGUUCUGUCCAGUACUGAGGCUCCAAAUGAUCCCCCUCCGGUGCCUUCUCUUUCUGGGGCUCUACCGACUGCUGAGACUUCUCCUAAGCAACCUUUGUGAAGGCUCCCUCUUGUGUGCUUAUUUUGACUCAUGUAUAUGUACAUAUUUGUAGCUUAUCGGGGAUAUCAAUAAAUAAGCUUUCCUUGUACAUAUUUGUAGCUUAUCGGGGAUAUCAAAAAAUCAUAAUAGUUAAAACAAUACCUAUAAUUAUUAUGAAUUUAACAUUCUACAUGAU